GUGAGAUCGUGACCUGAGCCUAAGUCAGAGGCUUAACCGACUGAGCCACCCAGGGGCCCCUUCUCUCUCUCUUUUUUGAUUCAUUUCACUAGCCAUGAAGUCAUUCAGCUUGACUUGAUGCUCUAAUUUCGUGCUGUCCUUACUAACUUCUAUUUAAAAGUAGAUUUGCGUGUCAGUUUGCCUACGGGGAAAGAAGGUGCUGACCAGCCACCAUGGGCGUUCUCACCGACUCCACUACCCUGAAGUUAUAUUUUUCAUAAGCCUGCAAGAAGCCAAGGGAGCAGCUGGAGGGCGGACACAAAGCUCUUUUCCGUUUUCAAAUAGCUGUGUAUUUUCCUGGGGUGACCUAAUAGCUGGGACAGAGAACAUUGUAGCAAAGUCCGUAGUCAUUCUUUCUGAGCCCUUCCUUUGUUCUGGACGUUACUCAGACUCUCUGCUCUUUCUGCUCAGAACUCGCUGUCUUGUCCUGCUCUCCAUGUGCUUAGUUUACAAAUAGGCUUUGAAAUUUCUUUUUCCUAAUGUCUUAAGCAGGACUGACUUCUCCGUUUCUUGAAAUUGACAUCAAGCCAAGAACAUCGGAUUCCCCAAAAAUGAUGAUCAUGCCUUCGUCUGGAUGCUUUAGAGAUGUGAAGGAGGGUUGCAGAAAAAUAAAUGAGAUGCCUUUAAACUGA